CCUACGGGUGGCAGCAGUGGGGAAUAUUGGGCAAUGGAGGCAACUCUUACCCAGCAAUGCCGCGUGAAUGAAGAAGGUCCUCGGAUUGUAAAGCUUCUUAAUUGGGGACGCAAACAAUGACGGUACCCAAUCAAUAAGCUCACCCUAACUACGCGCCUGCACUCGCGGCAAUACGGAGGGGGCGAUCAUUGUGCGGAAUGACUGGGUGUCAAGGGUGUUUGGGGUGGGUAGCAAGUGAGAAGGGAAAAAGCUAGAGCUUAACGCAGGUACUGCUUCUCAAACUGCUAUACUUGAGUGCAGGAGAGGAAAGUGGAAUUCGUGGUGUAGCGGUGGAAUGCGUAGAUAUUAGGAGGAACAUCGAUGGCGAAGGC
rnacentral:rRNA from 1 species